rnacentral:rRNA from 1 species
CAGCAAUCUUGAACACUCAUCCUUAAUACCUUUCUUUUUGGGGUAAUUAUACUCAUCGCGAAUAUCCUUAAGAGGGCGUUCAGCAGCCAGCUUGCGGCAAAACUGCGUAACCGUCUUCUCGUUCUCUAAAAACCAUUUUUCGUCCCCUUCGGGGCGGUGGUCUAUAGUGUUAUUAAUAUCAAGUUGGGGGAGCACAUU